rnacentral:misc_RNA from 1 species
AAACUAAAUCCAUCCAUUGGGUUUGUUUUGGGCGUCUGCCCCCUUUGGCAUCGCCUCAAAGUCAUAUGUCUAACGAGCGGACGAGAUCCUUUUGGGCUGACCGUUUGUAUGACAAAAUAUUAUCUCUG